UCGGGGAUAGCCUUUCGAAAGAAAGAUUAAUACCCGAUGGCAUAGUUCUUCCGCAUGGUAGAACUAUUAAAGAUUUCGGUCAUCGAUGGGGAUGCGUUCCAUUAGGUUGUUGGCGGGGUAACGGCCCACCAAGCCUUCGAUGGAUAGGGGUUCUGAGAGGAAGGUCCCCCACAUUGGAACUGAGACACGGUCCAAACUCCUACGGGAGGCAGCAUG
rnacentral:rRNA from 1 species